AGGACGAACGCUUGCGACGUGCCUAAGAAAUGCAAGUCGAGCGAGGUAGCAAUACCUAGCGGCGAACGGUCGCGUAACACGUAAGCAACCUGCCUCAAAGACCGGGACAACGUUUCGAAAGGGGCGCUAAUACCGGAUGUGCCCAUAGGGAGUCAUCUCCUUGUGAGUAAAUCGAGCAAUCGGCUUUGAGAGGGGCUUGCGGCCUAUCAGCUAGAUGGUGGGGUAACGGCCUACCAUGGCUUCGACGGGUAGCUGGUCUGAGAGGAUGGUCAGCCGGAUUGGGACUGAGAUACGGCCCAGACUCCUACGGGGGCAGCAAUUAGGAAUCUUGCGCAAUGGGCGAAAGCCUGACGCAGCGACGUCGCGUGGGGGAGGAAGGCUUUCGGGUUGUAAACCCCUUUAUCGAGGAAGAACAAAUGACGGUACUCGAUGAAUAAGCCCGGCUAACUCCGUGCCAGCAGCCGC
rnacentral:rRNA from 1 species